UGAACGCUGGCGGCGUGCCUCAUACAUGCACGUCGCGCGAACAGAUGCGGAGCUUGCUCCUCUGACGUUAGCGGCGGACGGGUGAGUAACACGUGGAUAACCUACCUAUAAGACUGGGAUAACUUCGGGAAACCGGAGCUAAUACCGGAUAAUAUAUUGAACCGCAUGGUUCAAUAGUGAAAGACGGUUUUGCUGUCACUUAUAGAUGGAUCCGCGCCGCAUUAGCUAGUUGGUAAGGUAACGGCUUACCAAGGCAACGAUGCGUAGCCGACCUGAGAGGGUGAUCGGCCACACUGGAACUGAGACACGGUCCAGACUCCUACGGGAGGCAGCAGUAGGGAAUCUUCCGCAAUGGGCGAAAGCCUGACGGAGCAACGCCGCGUGAGUGAUGAAGGUCUUCGGAUCGUAAAACUCUGUUAUUAGGGAAGAACAAAUGUGUAAGUAACUAUGCACGUCUUGACGGUACCUAAUCAGAAAGCCACGGCUAACUACGUG
rnacentral:rRNA from 1 species